UGAGGGCUCUCCAAGUUACAUCCCAGUUGCUUCACGUUGUCUCUUCCGGGAGAUGAAGGGAAACAGUUGGUUCUUCCGGGUCAAGCGAAGGCACCUCUGACCUUCAGUCCCGUGAGCCACAGCGCCGUCUGUUUGUGAGGCCGCACCAGAGCUGACAUACACAGGCCCAGCCUCCAGGUGCCCCCACACCGUUUUCUUGCAUUAUGAAGCUGAGCAGCCUCACUCUACUCUCUGUGACCAUCCUCCUUUGCCUCUGCAUGACCCAGCCUGGAAUCCUGAGGCGUGUGGCUACACAGAAACCGGGAUAUUGCCCAGAGUUUGAUCUUGAGUGCCCCUUCACCCUCUUACCUAUGUGCUGGCGCGAUAAGAGUUGCAAGGGGGACAAGAAGUGUUGCUACUACAACUGUCGGCGUCAGUGUAUGGAGCCGUGGUGGGUUUUGGAUUGAGUUUACAAUCAUGAAACACUUUCCUCUUUACAUUUACAUUGUGAGGUGGAAAUCCCUUCUUAACCAGGACUGAGGAGACACAGGUGCUACAGGCUCAGACUGGGACAACUGGUCUCCAUGUCAUCCACGGUUGCUCAGGCCCAAGACUUCCUUUUAGCAAGAGUUAAAUGUUUAUUACCAUGAUAACAAGAGAAAGAAUAAAGUGUUAUAUAUUUAAAACUCCAUGAAAAUCUGUAAGUC